UCCAUCCAUCUCUGUGCAGGGCCCUAGUCUACCUGCCGGGUCUCCAGGGUCUCUUUAUUCAAGCUCAAGCUUGGGCUCCUCGCCAAACCUGACACAGCAGGAAGGUGGAGCUCUCAGCCUACUAUAGAGUGAGAAAGGAGCAUUGCCCGAAGCUAUCCUGGACUAUGUGGCUACCCAGCCAGAUCACAAGACCCUGGUUCAUAAGGAGAAAAGUGUGUGACCCGGAGCCUGGCUUCCCACAGACAGCAGAGAGUCUAUAUUUCAUUGGUAUGUCGAAAUUAUUCCUUGACUCUUCAAACCCAUUCCACACCAGAUUUAGGACACUCUUGUUUUAAAAAUAGAUUCAAACGGACUCAGUCCCUCCCUGAUAACGUCGCUAAUUUUCAGGCUAACAUUCCUUAGUAAGUGGGAGGUACACCAUCUGUGUUUCAGGUUGGUAGCCAGGAAUUGUUCUGUCUGCACCCACCUGUGGCUGUGAGAGUUGAUGACAAGCCCAGGUUUCACACCCCACCUAGCAGAGGAUUGGUGGAAAGACAGUCAGAAGCAGCAGUGACCGCUCUAAGGCUUUGUAAUAUCACAGCAUCAAGCCUGAAGCCUACCACUGCACACUUUGUUUGUGGUGGUAGUGGGUGGUGGGUUUGAUUUUUGUUGUAUCUUUGUGUAGCCUUGGCUGUCCUAGAAGAAGCUCUGUAGAUCAGGCUGGCCUCGAACUUACGGAGAUCUACUUGCCUCUGCCUCCCCAGUUUUGGGAAGCUACCAUGAGCAGGCUCACUUGUUCUUUCUUAUAAACAGCUACUUCAUAAGUUUGAGGGUUUUUAACGUAUAGACAGGUUUCCAAGACAAAGCAGUGGCCGUCUACACACUUGUAAGCUAGUUUCGUGAAUUUUAACACCUCGUCUCUCCAACCCAGCUCUCUACACGUACCAGUCCUUGCUAAACAUCUGGGACUGGUGUGUGCAUGUGCGGUGAACUUCACCCUCAAAGACCUCUCCAGCUUCUCAAGAACAAGGACACUGCUCUGCUAUCCGGAGCACUGACGGCACUUCUGAGACCCUCAUUUGAAUUCCGCAUCUGGUCCAUAAAGUUUCCUAAUUGUGUCGUGGUUAUGCUUCGGUUCCCCUUCAGUCUAGAUUCCACUGCCUUUGGAACUUAUUUAUUUAUCUCAUUCGUCUAUUAAAUGAAAGAAUAUAAACCUAUAGAUGCAAAUAAUUGCAGGGCUAUGCAUUCCUAACUGAUAGCACAGGAUCAAGGCGGCCAAAAUCCCCACAUAAAUGGGAUAGAUCUCUCAGCCCUGCCCUCAUAGAGAAGCUAUGGAGAAUUGAUAGUUUUGGGGAAAGAUUUAUUCUUUGUAGGGGGUGUGGCCAGUGAUUCCCAUGUUCCAGUAGCUCCUCUUACACCAUGUAUAUAUGGGCAGCACAACUGGAUUUAAUGAUUGUUUUAAAAAGAGACGUGAGGUUCUUUGUGGGACGUGUUAGGGGGUACACGAAGGAAGUUAGAGGAAAUGAGGAGUAUAUAUAAUCAUAUUUCAUUGUAGACAUGUAUGAAAUUCUCAAAGAUAAAGAAAAAUUAAAUUUACUUACUGAUUGUGUGUAUUGCUAUGGUCUGUGCACGUAUGUAUGUAUGCACAGAUGUAUGUAUGCACAGAUGUAUGUAUGCAUGUAUGUCUGUGUGUACAAGUAUAAUUGCUUAUAAAGGGUUGAUGAUACUUCAGCCUGGUAUUUACAGCCAUCGCAGCUCCAUCACAGUGUGCACAGCCCACCUGAUCCCAGCCCUUCUGUCGCUUGCUUGUUUUCUCUUCGUUCCUUCCAUGUCCUUAGUCGGGUCAAGUCUCAGCCAAGCAGGACAAGGUCAGCGGCCGGUGCUCUAACCUGCCAAGUCAUCUCUCCAGCCCCAAGCAGGGAAAAAUGAGAAGAAAACGUAUAAGAAGAUGGUUGGGUCCUACCGCAGAUUCAUACAGAUAUCGAUAACAUUCGUUUUCCAUGUUGUUUUAAACAGGAUCUCAUAUAGCUUAGGCUGGCCACCCUAGGCUUGCAGUAUGGCUCAUGCUAGCCUUGAAUUCCUGAUUCUCCUGCCUCCAUCUUCCAAGUGCUGGCAAUACCGGUAUGGAGUACCAAACCUCUUUUGUUCAUUUGUAAUCUGUCCUUUUCAAAUUCUGCAGUCAAGUCGGGCGGGGACCACAGGUUGUAGCUGGUUAAAGGUAUCCACAUAUAUCUCCCCCCACUAGACUUUAAUCUAUUUCAAUGAAUUGUUGUGCCAACAUUCGAAUCAGAUCUUUGAUUCUCUCUAAUUGAAAUUCUCUUCUUUUCUACGCUAUCUCCCCAAGCCUCUCCCCUUGUAGCCUAUCACUUAGAAAGAAGGACUUGAUUAACAGGCACUGUUCAGCUAGUCCUAAAUCUUAUCUGGGGCUUUACUGUAAUUCCAAGUUGUUAACUCAUAACCUUUUUACAUACUUCUUCAUUAAAAAAUGGAGUGUGGAGGGAGGGAAGGAUCCUCCGUUGAGAUUUAGACUCCUCGGCUGUUCCAGCCUCGGGAAUAUGCGUGUUAGUCAACCACUAGAACAUUCUUCACCACCACUCCCUGUAGGUAGGAGAUCGAGGCAAAGUCUUCACCCACAGGCCAGGCAAGCUUGGAAUUCUCAAUAUACAGGUUGUACUCCCUUUUCUUACCAUCCCAAGACCUGUUCUCACAGAUCUGAGCCAUUAUGCCCUACACCGAUUAUAGGGUGUGUGUGUGUGUGUGUGUGUGUGUGUGUGUGUGCGCGUGCGUGUGUGUGUGUGUGUGUGUGUGUGUGUGUGUGUGUGUGUGUGUGUUGGCUUUGUUGUUCUGGAUUUUGGCUUGACUUGUGGCUUUGAGACAGGGUCUCACUUUGUAGAGAAGGCUAGCCUAGAACUUGUAAGUCCAGUUAGCCUUGAACUUAGUAUCUAGCCUAGCCUGCUGUUGAACAUUCCUCCUGCCUCAGAAUCCUGAAUGCUGGGGUUCCAGGCAUGAGCCACUGUGCUUGGCUUUUACCUCCCUCCCUCCCUCCAACAACUCGAUGGGCCUUGCAGCGUGAUCUGCUCUUAGUACCUCUAUAAACAUCUAACAUAUUAAAUGGGAUCUCUAAUUCAAAACUGUUCCCCACAGAUCCCAGAAACCAGAUUACUUACAUUCCCGUCGGCUAGCUCAUCUCUCUAAUGUUUCGACUUCGACAAUCUUCUCAAAGAAGAAGCAAGCUUCAACUGACAUACUUUGGGUGUUUCCUAAAACUAGGGGCAAGUCCUCUGUUUCUGUCUCAUCCUGCCUCUCGUUCCAUCCUGGCUAAAUUCUUAGCCUCUGAGUCACGCUUUUUAAAAAACAACUGCAUAUAAACGUGAGCUCAUGCAAUGUUUGCGUGUUUUUCUUAUUUCAUUUAACACGAUGUCCUCGUGUUAAAUCACAGGACAUGUGACUUAGGUUCCAUUAGAUUUAGCUUUUGAAGCGAUCCCCUCUAUCCAUUCACCCACUAAUGAACACCUAAUUUGAUUUUUAUCUUGUGGGUGUUGUGACUAGGAGCGCAGAGGUGCGGUGGUGACAUGGCUUGGCAAGUAAGGGCACCUGCCACUGGCAAUCCAAGAUUCCCCCUGGCAUCCUCACGAGAGAAGGAAAGAACAGACUUUCACAAGUCAUUUGGUAUCCACAGAAGCAUCAUAGCACUCCAGUGCCCACACACAUAAUCAAUAA
ensembl:lncRNA